CCUACGGGAGGCAGCAGUGAGGAAUAUUGGUCAAUGGGCGCGAGCCUGAACCAGCCAAGUAGCGUGAAGGAUGACUGCCCUACGGGUUGUAAACUUCUUUUAUAAAGGAAUAAAGUGAGGCACGUGUGCCUUUUUGUAUGUACUUUAUGAAUAAGGAUCGGCUAACUCCGUGCCAGCAGCCGCGGUAAUACGGAGGAGCCGAGCGUUAUCCGGAUUGAGUGGGGUUAAAGGGAGCGUAGAGGGGUUGUUAAGUCAGUUGUGAAAGUUUGCGGCUCAACCGUAAAAUUGCAUUUGAUACUGGCAGCCUUGUGUACAGUUGCGGUAGGCGGACUUCGUGGUGUAGCCGU
rnacentral:rRNA from 1 species